UUCGUUUGAUUAGACAAUAAUCAGGGCGUUUGGGUGUCUUUCUUAUGCGCUUAGGCAACCGAUAUUAAGAGCAGUGUUUCAUGCAUACUGUACCAGUACUACCGUCUACAAAUACAUUCGUAGUUUUCCUAUUAUUUUUUCAAUGCACAUGGUGCGACUUUGUAUCAAAUGGGAAAUGUAGGUGAAAUAAUAAUAAUUAUUAAACACUAUUAAGAAAGUAAGAUAUAGAGAGACGAAGGUGUGCAGAAGUAACCAAAAUAUAAUUUAAUAACCAACAUUUCUUGUUUCACAUAAAGAGAUAAUGCAUAACAUAACGAAGAGAUUGGAGUGUUGCAUAUCAAGUUAUAAGCAAAUAGCACGUUGUUUGUUUUGCAACGGUGUCUGAUUCAUUUUCUUUUCCACGAAGAUGAUGAGAAAAUCAGAAAUUUAAUCGAAAUGGGCAUAUUGAUGGUAUUGUGACGUAUAACUAUUAACUACUAUCACACCUAUUCAG